rnacentral:rRNA from 1 species
AUGGCGGCUGUGGAUGCAAACUCCGGCGGCGAUUCAGGCAUACCUCCGGGCGGCAGCGCGGCGCAGCAGCCUUCUCAAAUUGAUGACCCAAAGUGGUCAAUUUGGUUCCAUUUCAAUGCCAGAGAAUCUGUGGUUCGAAAUUUAUACCAGUCAGACAUAUCAUAUUUGACAAUGCUUUCUCUUAUUGGGAGUGAGGGCUUUGUGGCUGAUGAUUAUAUGUACUAUGUAUUUGAUGAGGAGAAAGGAUUAGAAGGUUUAGAUAAAAUAUGCUGUGGAGAUGAUGUGCAGCAGAUGUUGGCACACUCUCAUAAUGAAAAGUUUCUGAACAUAAGAGUAGUGGGAGCUCUUGAGGAAUGUAAUGCAGAUGAAAAUCAUGAAAACAGAGAUAGUUAUUUUGCUGAACAUUGCAUUAACACUCAACAAAGUUGCACUAAGGUGGUGGAUAUAAGCAUGGACAGAAAGGAAGAGCUGAAGAAAAGCAUGGUGCAGAGAAAGGCUGACCUUAACCAUUUUGAAGGUGACACUGAUGUGUCUGAAUUUGUUUCUGAUGAUGAAGCUGCAAAUUCAGGUUUAGAUGGGAACAAUGUGGAUUUUCAGUCAGAGUAUUCCUCUGAAGAUGAAGCUGCAAAACAAGAUACAGCAGUGGUACUGAAACUGAAGGUAGUGAGAAAACCUGGUCCAACUAGUAGAUCCCACCAUGAGGUUGAGAAAAUGGAGAAAGCAGAUUGGUUCCCUGAAGCAGAUGAAAAAUGUUUCCCUGGUGAUUAUGGCAUCAGUGAUGAAGAAGAUGAGCCUGAAGGAUCCUAUAAACUACCAAGUGGUAGGAAGAGAAGGAAUAAGAAGUUGAAAGACAGGAUAUGGUAUGAUCACAAACUUAAAGGACCAGUAGAACAGUUCUAGUCCACAAAGGUUACUACUAAGUGGAUGUCAAGGUCAGUAGAGGCAGCAUUGAGAGAAGACAUUAGAUCUCCUGUGGAUGCAUUAAUUAAGAAGACCAAGACUAAGUUUGCAGUGGAUGUAUCAAGAAGUUUGGCAUAUAGGGCAAGGAGGAAGGCUGUUGAUGUAGUUCAAGGUGACCACAAGCAGCAGUACUUGAGGCUCAGGGAUUAUCUUCAAGCAGUUCUUGACACAAACCCUGGUAGCAGGUGUAUAGUAACAACAUUUGAAGAUCCAGAGAACCCAGCACCUACUCCUAGAUUCAAGUAUAUGUUCUAUUGUUUAGCAGCUUCAAUGGAAGGUUUCCUUAAUGGUUGCAGACCAUUUAUAGGUCUUGAUGGAUGCUUCAUCAAGUUAACCACUGGACAGCAAAUUCUUGCAGCCACAGGAAGGGAUGGAAACAACAAUAUUUAUCCUAUAGCUUUUCGUGUGGUUGACAAGGAAGAUGGUGAAAGUUGGAAUUGGUUUUUAACUCAAUUGAGAUGUUGCAUUGGCAGUGGCAACAAAUUUGGAACAUACACUAUCAUGUCUGACAGGCAAAAGGGCUUGCUUAAGGCAAUAAAUGAGGUAUUCCCUGAUUCACCUCAAAGGUAUUGUCUUAGGCACAUAUAUGCAAAUUUUCAAUCUGCUGGAUUUAGAGGCCAGGAACUAAAGAAGUGUAUUGACAAGGCUAGCUACUCCUACACUAAACAUGGGCAUGAACUAGGCAUGGCAGAGCUAAAAGCACAGUCUGAGGAUGCUUGGAAAUGGCUCAAAAAUAUUGAGGUCUCUACUUGGGCUAGGCUUGCUAUGGAUCAUACUUGCAAAACAGAUUUAGUUGUGAACAAUCUAAGUGAAGUCUUCAACAAGAUGAUACUGGAUGUUAGGGCCAAACCAAUAAGGACAAUGUUUGAAGGGAUUAGGACCAAGCAAAUGAUCAAGAGGCAACAAACUAGGGAGAAGUUACAGAUUAGCAGGUGGACAAUCACACCAAUCUACUCAGAGAUUUUAGAAGAGAACAAGCAGUAUGCCAAGUAUUGUCAGGCUGACAGAGUUGGUCCAACAAUUUGGCAAGUUACUAGCAAAGAAAAACAGUAUUGUGUGGACAUGGAAGGGUAUACAUGUGACUGCAAGAGAUGGAACAUGACUGGUGUACCUUGCAGUCAUGGCAUAUCUGUACUGACAAAGCAAAAGCUGCAUCCUGAGGACUAUGUCAAUGACUUUUUCAAGAAGCCACUUUAUUUGGAGACAUACAAAGAAAUUAUAUACCCUGUUCCUGGUCCAGAUUUCUGGCCUCACACAAACACUCCAGACAUUGAACCUCCUGUGUUCAAAGAAAAGGCAGGCAGAAAACAAACUGCAAGGAGGAAAGGAGAGUUUGAAGUUCCUGCCCCAAGAGACACUAGUAGGAUGGGAACAAUUACCUGUGGAAAUUGUGGGUUGGAAGGACACAAGUAUACAAGUUGCAAUAAGACUCUUAGGCCUAAACUGCAAAUGAGGAAAAACAAACACCAGGAAAACAGGGCAGUCUAUGCACCUGCUCCAUCUGCUCCAGUACAAACUCCAAGAGCACCAGCCCCUAGUGCAAGAGCACCAGCUCCUGCUGCAUCAGCACCAGCACCACAUGCAAGAGCACCGGCUCCUGCUGCAUCUGCACCAGCACCACAUGCAAGAGCACCCGCUCCUACUGCAUCUGCACCAGCUCCUACUACAACAGCUAAAAGGGGUAGGCCUGCAGGUGGAGGGAGAGGCAAGGGAUUCAGUGCACCAAGAUCUGUUGCUGCAACUUCAGAUGUUUUGGCUGGUAACAAAAGGAAGAGUGAAGGAUGCAGUUCAGGAGAUGCACCAACCGUGAUGAAGACGAUGCAAUGUGGCUGCCUGAAUCUAUACCCAUGGUUGAACCCCUUCCCCACCGGCAAGGGCUGGGUUGCCAUGCUUUUUGGGUCGGCUCGCGGUGACGAAGACCUCUUCCUCGACUACAUGAAGAUUGCCAUGAGAUACAGCAGCGCACAAGGGCUCGUGGAUGCAUCAGAAGAGGUGAGGAAGAAGGCGACGACUGAGGAGAAGCAGCGCAUGGACCAGCGCUAUGCAACCCCAGGUAAGGGUAUCAUGCCCAUCGACAUGUUGCUGUGGGCAAUGAAGGAGGCGGACUCCGGCGAUGCUGGGCAGAGGGAACGGUGGGCAGCCCACCGCUAUAUCCCUCCAGCACAAGCUACAACUCCAACUACUAUGGGCAACGACGACGAGGACCUGCAGAUCAUCGCCCCACCAACACUACUGGCUCGUCGACGUCCUCCUCCCAUCAUCGUCAUCGAUGGAGAUGAAGAGGAGGUGCCAGAGCUGCCACCUACCACUCAAGUCAAGCAAGAGGUGCGACGGUCAGGUCGCAUAGCAGGGCAGGGGCCUAACAAUCUGAAACUGGUGUUUGCAAUCUCAGUGAGAUUCAGUUCUGUCAGUUUAAGUGUCUUUGAACAAUUUCAGUGUCCAUGUCCUAUCUAUGUAAGACUAAAUGCUAUCUAUGGGAGACUAGAUGUCUUCCAAACUUCUCUGAAUUUGUCUGAACCUGCGAUGAAGCAAUUUAUGAAGUAA